GCCACGGGCCCGCUCCGGCCGCGGGGAGCCGGGGCUCUGCCGGGGCAGGGAAGAACGGGGGCAGCCGCUCCCUCGUUCCUCCCGUGCUCCGGGACCCCGAGCAGAGCUGCCCGUCUGUCCCCGUGUCCCCGUGUCUGUCCACAGGCGGCCCCAGGAGCUGGCACUGACCGUGCCGCGGCUCGGGCACAGGCUGCUCCCAGCUCUGCCUGCGGAACUUCGGCAAUUGCCCACAGCAGUUCUUUGCCCCGCCAUCCCGAAGGGGCAGCUCAGCUGACACCUGCCAGACGGGGAAGGUCCUGCCUGGGAGGGAAACGGCUACAGCAGAGGAAACCAAGAAACGCUCCAACCGGACGCUGCCGCGCGAGUCAAAGGAGGGAAGAACCGCAGGCAAAUACAGUCAGGAAAUGCGCUUUUAUUAAAUCUCUGCAGCAUUAAA